GAGUUUGAUCCUGGCUCAGAAUGAACGCUGGCGGCAUGGAUUAGGCAUGCAAGUCGAACGGUAACAGGGGAGCUUGCUCCCGCUGACGAGUGGCGAAAGGGUGAGUAACGCGUGAGUAAUUUACCUUUAGGUUGGGGAUAGCCCCGCGAAAGCGGGAUUAAUACCGAAUGUGGCAAUCUACUGCAAAGUAGAAUUGCUAAAGCCCCGCUUGCGGGGCGCCUCUAGAUGAGCUCGCGUCCUAUUAGCUAGUUGGUGAGGUAACGGCUCACCAAGGCAACGACAGGUAGGUGGUCUGAGAGGAUGGUCACCCACACUGGGACUGAGACACUGCCCAGACUCCUACGGGAGGCUGCAGUCGAGAAUCUUCCGCAAUGCGCGAAAGCGUGACGGAGCAAUGCCGCGUGAGGGAUGAAGGCUUUCGGGUCGUAAACCUCUGUCACCCGGGACGAAGAUCUGACGGUACCGGGAGAGGAAGUCACGGCUAACUACGUGCCAGCAGCCGCGGUAAUACGUAGGUGGCGAGCGUUAUUCGGAUUUAUUGGGCGUAAAGGGUCCGUAGGGGGCUUGUUAAGUCCGGUGUGAAAUACUGAGGCUCAACCUCAGAACUGCAUUGGAAACUGGCAGGCUAGAGCAUAGGAGAGGAGAGUGGAAUUCCUGGUGUAGCGGUGGAAUGCGUAGAUAUCAGGAGGAACACCAAUGGCGAAGGCAGCUCUCUGGACUAUUGCUGACCCUGAGGGACGAAAGCUAGGGGAGCGAACAGGAUUAGAUACCCUGGUAGUCCUAGCGUAAACGUUGUACACUAGGUGGAGGGGGAGUUGAUCCCCUCUGUGCCCAAGCUAACGCGAUAAGUGUACCGCCUGGGGAGUACGGCGGCAACGCUAAAACUCAAAGGAAUUGACGGGGGCCCGCACAAGCGGUGGAGCAUGUGGCUUAAUUCGAGGCAACGCGAAGAACCUUACCUGGGUUUGACAUAUAGUGGACAGACCGUGAAAGCGGUUUUCCCUUCGGGGUCGCUAUACAGAUGCUGCAUGGCUGUCGUCAGCUCGUGUCGUGAGAUGUUCGGUUAAGUCCGGCAACGAGCGCAACCCGUGUCGUCAGUUGCCAACGGGUAAUGCUGGGAACUCUGGCGAGACUGCCCGUGUUAAGCGGGAGGAAGGCGCGGAUGACGUCAAGUCCGUAUGGCUCUUACAUCCAGGGCUGCACACGUGCUACAAUGGUUGGCACAAUGAGAAGCGAAGUCGUGAGACCGAGCAAAUCUCCAAAACCAGCCUCAGUUCGGAUUGCAGUCUGCAACUCGACUGCAUGAAGUUGGAAUCGCUAGUAAAGGCGUAUCAGCAACGGCGCCUUGAAUACGUUCCCGGGCCUUGUACACACCGCCCGUCACAUCAUGGAAGCUGGAUGCACCCGAAGUCGUUGACUUAACCCGCCUUGGCGGGGGAGAGGCGCCGAAGGUGUGCCUAGUGACUGGGAUGAAGUCGUAACAAGGUAACUAAGGGCG
rnacentral:rRNA from 1 species